GUGAUUGAUGAGCUUUUGGAUGAACUAUCUGGUGCUGCUUGGUUCACUAAAUUGGAUCUCAGGGCUGGUUACCAUCAGAUCAGACUAGCUGAGGGGGAGGAAUAUAAAACAGCUUUCCAAACUCAUCUUGGCCACUGUGAGUUUACUGUUCUGGCCAUGGGACUGAGUGAAGCUCCAGGAACAUUCCAGGGGGCCUUGAACAACACCUUGUCCCCUGUUAACAGGAAGAAUACCUUGGUUUUCUUUGAUGACAUUCUGAUUUUCAGUAAGUCAUAUGAGGAGCACUUAAAACAUGUUAGAGAAGUGCUGGUUUUGCUAAGAGCUGAUCAAUGGAAAAUCAAAAUGUCAAAGUGUGCUUUUGCUCAA
rnacentral:rRNA from 1 species